rnacentral:lncRNA from 1 species
GAGGGAGAGGCGGCGAAAGGCCCCUCCGCGAGCACCCUCUGGGCGCAGCGCGGUAGGCUAUGCUCUGCGCAUCCCCGGGCGCGCCUGGGUUCUCAGAGCCCAAGACCUGAGCCGCUCCGAGCGCAGGGCGCCAGUUCUCUUUCAGAAGCGGGAGAAGUUCAGCCUCCCUAACCGUGACCCUGCCACAGGACUUUUGCACUUGCAGGCAGAGCUCUUGCCCGGCCCGUCAUGGCUUCUACUUCCGGCCUCAGCGCAUCCUUUCUGGAUGAGAGGAUGAGACCAUCAAUCAUCCCACCCUUC